AUUGAACGCUGGCGGCAGGCCUAACACAUGCAAGUCGAGCGGAUGAGUGGAGCUUGCUACUGAUCUUAGCGGCGGACGGGUGAGUAAUGCUUAGGAAUCUGCCUAUUAGUGGGGGACAACACUUCGAAAGGAAUGCUAAUACCGCAUACGUCCUACGGGAGAAAGCAGGGGAUCUUCGGACCUUGCGCUAAUAGAUGAGCCUAAGUCGGAUUAGCUAGUUGGUGGGGUAAAGGCCUACCAAGGCGACGAUCUGUAGCGGGUCUGAGAGGAUGAUCCGCCACACUGGGACUGAGACACGGCCCAGACUCCUACGGGAGGCAGCGGUGGGGAAUAUUGGACAAUGGGCGCAAGCCUGAUCCAGCCAUGCCGCGUGUGUGAAGAAGGCCUUAUGGUUGUAAAGCACUUUAAGCGAGGAGGAGGCUACUUUAGUUAAUACCUAGAGAUAGUGGACGUUACUCGCAGAAUAAGCACCGGCUAACUCUGUGCCAGCCGCCGCGGUAAGAC
rnacentral:rRNA from 1 species